UUCCAUCCACUGUUAUUCGAC
rnacentral:piRNA from 1 species